rnacentral:rRNA from 1 species
AGAGUUUGAUCCUGGCUCAGGAUGAACGCUAGCUACAGGCUUAACACAUGCAAGUCGAGGGGCAGCAUGUCGGUUGCUUGCAACCGACGAUGGCGACCGGCGCACGGGUGAGUAACGCGUAUCCAACCUACCCUUGUCCAUCGGAUAACCCGUCGAAAGGCGGCCUAACACGAUACGCGGUUCUCAGCAGGCAUCUAACGAGAACGAAAUGCGAAGGAGAAGGAUGGGGAUGCGUCUGAUUAGCUUGUUGGCGGAGUAACGGCCCACCAAGGCGACGAUCGGUAGCCGGACUGAGAGGUUGAACGGCCACAUUGGGACUGAGACACGGCCCAGACUCCUACGGGAGGCAGCAGUGGGGAAUAUUGCACAAUGGGGGAAACCCUGAUGCAGCGACGCCGCGUGGAGGAAGAAGGUCUUCGGAUUGUAAACUCCUGUUGUUGAGGAAGAUAAUGACGGUACUCAACAGGGAAGUGACGGCUAACUACGUGCCAGCAGCCGCGGUAAAACGUAGGUCACAAGCGUUGUCCGUAAUUACUGGGUGUAAAGGGAGCGCAGGCGGGAAGACAAGUUGGAAGUGAAAUCCAUGGGCUUAACCCAUGAACUGCUUUCAAAACUGUUUUUCUUGAGUAGUGCAGAGGUAGGCGGAAUUCCCGGUGUAGCGGUGGAAUGCGUAGAUAUCGGGAGGAACACCAGUGGCGAAGGCGGCCUACUGGGCACCAACUGACGCUGAGGCUCGAAAGUGUGGGUAGCAAACAGGAUUAGAUACCCUGGUAGUCCACACCGUAAACGAUGGUUACUAGGUGUUGGAGGAUUGACCCCUUCAGUGCCGCAGUUAGCACAAUAAGUAAUCCACCUGGGGAGUACGACCGCAAGGUUGAAACUCAAAGGAAUUGACGGGGGCCCGCACAAGCAGUGGAGUAUGUGGUUUAAUUCGACGCAACGCGUAGAACCUUACCAAGUCUUGACAUCCUGUGACAGACGUAGAAAUACGUUCUUCCUUCGGGACACAGAGACAGGUGGUGCAUGGUUGUCGUCAGCUCGUGUCGUGAGAUGUUGGGUUAAGUCCCGCAACGAGCGCAACCCUUAUGGUCAGUUACUACGCAAGAGGACUCUGGCCAGACUGCCGUUGACAAAACGGAGGAAGGUGGGGAUGACGUCAAAUCAUCAUGCCCUUUAUGACUUGGGCUACACACGUACUACAAUGGCGUUAAACAAAGGGAAGCAAGACCGCGAGGUGGAGCAAAACUCAGAAACAACGUCCCAGUUCGGACUGCAGGCUGCAACUCGCCUGCACGAAGUCGGAAUUGCUAGUAAUCGUGGAUCAGCAUGCCACGGUGAAUACGUUCCCGGGCCUUGUACACACCGCCCGUCACACCAUGAGAGCCGGGGGGACCCGAAGUCGGUAGUCUAACCGCAAGGAGGACGCCGCCGAAGGUAAAACUGGUGAUUGGGGUGAAGUCGUAACAAGGU